CGAAAAUCGUUGGAAUCAUAAACAAACUCUGUUGGAAAAUUGCCAUUAUACAAUAUGUCUUCAAUUUUUAUAGCAGAUAUAAUAUAAUUCUGAUAUUACAAAUAACUGCAAUUAUCAAUUUUUAUCAAUUUCCACGACCUUAGUAGCAAUUUACCAACUUCCCGUGCAUAUAGUUAUCAAAGGUACCAGGAUUAUAAUUUAUUACGCCAGACGCGCAUUUCGUCUACAUAAGACUCAUCAGUGACGCUCAUAUCAAAAUAUUUAUAAAGCCAAACAAGUACAAAAUUGAAGAUAUGAGAUACAUAUUUCACAACUCAUUCUCUGUUCAAUAGCUUGCAGUUGCUACUCAGACUUUAUGAAACGUAACCAGUGUCUGAACAUAAUAUUGAUGAACCAGGGUUAUGUCACAAAACACCCCGUCCCUUUUCUGGAAAACUUUAUCGGAAGAUACAAAAACCUUGUUGAUAAAUAUCACAAAUAAAAAAUGAUGGUCUUGAUUUAUUUAUUCUAGUAGCUUAUAAGGCUUAUCCUCUUGUACGUGUUAAAGUGUUCUUGUCUUUGUAAAUUAUUACUUUUCUGUUUUAGUCUCUUUUUGGUGAUAUCAAUUUGACGUGGCUUGGUAGUUAUAUAUCCCGUUAUUGUGCUAUUUUAAUUUUUAUAUAACUGUCUUUCGUUUCUGAUUAUGUGCUUUGUCUAUAUGUCUUUUUGUAUUUCUUUGUUACAUAUUUUUUUUUGUUUUUAUAGUGAUUAAAGUACAAUGUUGACUCUUGUUCCACUUUAUUUGACAUU
rnacentral:lncRNA from 1 species